rnacentral:lncRNA from 1 species
UUAUUAUCACCCUGUAAGUUUCACAUGUGGAUGGGGCAUAGCUUUCAUCAACUCAUUUCAGCAGCCUAAUAGUUCUGAUGGGCUCUACAUAGUUCUUGUUGAAGCAGAAGUUGCAGCUGAAAUCCAGAAAAUCAAGAUUCUUCUUCUGCAGAGACUGAUCCCCACCAUUGCCCUGCCCUGACCUCGAGGGAAGGAGGCUUGAGAAUGAGCUGUUUUUCCCAGCAAGCGUCCCAUUGUGGAAGGAGCGGUGACACACAUUGGUGGCUGAUGGUAUCACAGCUGACACACCCCCUCCCUUCUGCUGUGGAAAGAGGUUUCUUGUUCUGAGAGCAUAAGAGCUGGACUACAACACAGUUUCAUGGGCAAUCUUGCAGAAACCAUGGGCAGUUGAGAGAAGGCACCAAUGAUGUGGGCAGGUGGCCUUGAGAAGCAGCCCUAGAGAGCAUAGGAAACUUCAGAACAGAAAACAAAUGGAAGACAAUGAUGUCAGCAAGAUGGUGGAAUAGGAAUUUUCUAUCAUCAUUUAUCUAUAGGGCACUGAUUUUGACAGUCACCCAAAGAUAAGAGUACCUCUGUGGGAAUCUGAGAGUCCAGUGGGAGAAGUUCCAGCACACAGUUGAAUCAUAAAAUCUGAGAACAGAUGCAUUCAAGAGGGUAAGAACAUCUUUACUUUACCAGCAUCUUCCCUCCACCAUGGGGUCACAGCUCAAUGACAGAAGAGAUUCCCUCACCUGCAAUUCCUCCCACAGGAAAAAAUGAGAGCAAUGAGUGAGUGCCCAGGUUCCACAGCUGCGUGGAAUGCUGUCCAAGAGGCUCAUCUUUUUCUUGCCUGUCAUACUUGUCUAGAAUACUGAGGACAUAAGUAUGGUGAGUAGCUGGGAGAAGCUGGGAGUAGGAAAAAGAGGUGGAGACUCACAGUAACUAGGACAUGGGACUCAACAAAGGGCCACAAUCCUACUAACUGCUUUGCAGAAUCCAUCAGGAAGCCUGCCCACAAGCUGUUUGGGAUGCCUCACCUGCAGAUCCUCCAGUUGACCCAUGGACACCUCAAUGCUCCAAACACCUCACCUAUCUCUCCACCCAUGGCUGGCUCCCUGUGUGUACCCCUGGAAAGUGAGUGUUAGCCUUUGCAGUUGGCUAACAAGCAUGUAUAGUCAGCCAGCUUGACUCUGGGAAAUUGGGAGAAGGCACACAAAUUUAAGCAUUUCAAAACACUGUCAUAUGGGAAAUGAGGGAGGUUCUCAACACCCAGCAUGGCUUUAAAAUUGAAAGAAGGCAUACAAUCUUAAGAAUUCCAUCCAACCUAAGAGGAAACAAGAAGGGUGGAAUGGAUGCUUUCAUUAAAAAUGUCUGAGAGGGCUUGGAAUUUCUAAUCAGGUUUACUGGUGAAGGCAUUUGUCUCCCAAAGCAAGUCAGAGGGGUGACUGCUUCUUCAAGCGGAAAGACAUCAAUGCAAGACUUAAAGGAACAUAAAAAACAAACAAACAAACAACCAGGGAAAUAUAACACCACCAAAGGAACACAGUAAUUUUCCAGUAACUGACCCCAAAGAAAUGAAGAUCUAUAAAAAGUGCCUGACAAAUAAUUCAAAAUAAUUGUCUUAAGAAAGCUCACCUACCUAUAAGAGAAUACAGAUAGACAACUCAAUGAAAUCAGAAGAAUAAUACAUGAACCGAACAAAUUCAACAAAGAGAAAGAAAUCACAAAAGUACCAAACAGAAAUUAUGGGGCUGAAGAAAACAAUGAAUGGAAUGCAAAAAUGCAAUAGAGAGCUUCAACAGCAGGCUUGAUCAAGCAGAAGAAAGAAUAUGUGAAUUUGAAGGCAGGUCAUUUGAAAUUAUCCAGUCAGAGGAGAAAAAAGAAUGAAAAGGAAUGAAGAAAACUUACAGAAUUAAUGAGACAUCACCAAGAGAAAUAAAAUUUCCACACUAUGGAAAUCUUACAAGGAAAAGAGAGAGAGAAAGGGGCAAAAGCUUAUUUAAAGAAAUAAUGGCUAAAACUUUUCAAAUAGUGGGAGAGAUAUGGACAGCCACAUACAUGGUGAUCAAAGGUCCCCAAACAGAUUCAAUCUAAAGAAGACUUCAGUGGGGAACACUGUAGUCAAAUUGUCAAAAAUCAAAGACAAAGAGAAUUUUGAAAGAGUCAAGAGAAAAUAGAUGGGUCACAUACAAGGGAACCCCCAUAAGGUUAUCAGCAGAUUUCUCAGCAAAAACUUUGCAGACCAGGAGAGAGUAGGAUAUAGUCAAAUAUAUUGUAUUCAAUGUGCUAAAAGAAAAAAAACCUACCAACUAAGGACAAUUUACCUGGAAAAGCUAUCCUUCAGAAAUGAGGGAGAGAUAAAAACUUUCCCAGACACACAAAAACUGGAGGAGUUCAUCACUGCUAGACCUGCCUUAUAAGAAAUACUGAAGAAGGCCAGGUGCGGUGGCUCACACCUAUAAUCCCAGCACUUUGGGAAGCCGAGGUGGGUGGAUCACGAGAUCAGGAGAUCAAGACCAUCCUGGCCAACAUAGUGAAACCCCAUCUCUCCUAAAAAUACAAAAAUUAGCCAGGCGUGGUGGCACACACCUGUAGUCUCAGCUACGUGGGAGGCUGAGGCAGGAGAAAUCACUUGAACCUGGGAGGUGGAGGCUGCAGUGAGCCGAGAUCAUGCCACUGCACUCCAGCCUGGUGACAGAGCGAGACUCUGUCUAAAAAAAAAAAAAAAAAACAACUGAAGAAAUUCUUCAAGCUGAAAUGAAAGGACACUCAUUUGUAACAUGAAACGUAUAAAAGUAUAAAACUUAAUGGUAAAGGUAAGUAUAUAUAAAUGCUCCUUGACUUAUGAUGGGGUUAUGUCCUGAUAAAACCAUCAAAAGUUGAAAACAUUAUAAGUUGAAAAUGCAUUUAAUACACUCAACUCACUGAAUGUUAUAGCUUAAACAUAUCUAGAAUACUUAUGUUAGCCUAAAGUUGGGCAAAAUAAUCUAACACAAAGCCUAUUUUAUAGUAGUGUUGAAUAUCUCAUGUAAUUGCUUGAAUACUAUACUGAAAUUUUUUGUUUUGUUUUAUUUUUCUUUCUAAGUGUGUAUUGCUUUUGGACCACUGUAAAGUUGAAGCAUCAUUAGUUGAAUUAUUGUAAGUCAGGGACUAUCUGUACUCAAAUUCAGAAUACUUGUAUACUGUAAUGGUGGUGUAUAAAUCAAAAGUAUGAAAAAUAACUAUAGCUACAAUGAUUUGUUAAUGGACUCACAAUAUAAAAAUAAGUAAAUUGUGACAUCAAAAGCAUAAAAUGUGAGGAGAGAAGUAAAAGUGUAGAGUUUUUGUAUGUGAUCAAAGUUAAGUUGUUAUCAGCUUAAAAUAGAUUUAUCUAAUUAUAAGAUGUUUCAUGUAAGCCCCAUGGUAACCACAAAGCAAAGCCUUAGUAGAUACAUAGAAGAUAAAAAGAAAGAAAUCAAAGCAUGCCAUUAUAGAAACCAUCAAAUCACAAAAGAAGAUGUCAAGAGAGGAAGAAAGAAACAAAAUUACAGAAUAGUUAGAAAACAAUUAACAAAAUGGGAAUAGGAAGUAAUUACCUAUCAAUAAUUGCUGUAAAUGUAAGUGGGUUAAUUUCUCCAAUCAAAAGACAUACAGUGGCUGACUGGAUUUUUUUAAAAAAGAUUUAAUUUUGCCAGGCACCGUGGCUCAUGCCUGUAAUCCCUGCACUUUGGGAGGCCGAGGAAGGUGGAUCACGAGGUCAGGAGUUCAAGACCAGCCUGGCCAAGAUGGUGAAACCCCAUCGCUACUAAAACUACAAAAAUUAGCCAGGUGCUGUGGUACAGGCACCUGUAAUCCCAGCUACUCGGGAGGCUGAGGCAGGAGAAUCGCUUGAACCUGGUUGGCAGAGGUUGCAGUGAGCCAAGAUCAUGCCACUGCACUCCAACCUUGGCAACAGACUGAGACUCUGUCUCAAAAAAAAAAAAAGAUUUAAUUAUAUGCUGCCUACAAGAGACACACGGAAAGUGAAGGGAUGAAAAAAUAUAUUCUAGGCAAAUGGUAACCAAAAGAAAGCAGGAGUGGCUAUAGGUAAAUCAGAAAAAUAUAGACUUUAAGUAAAAAACUGUCACAAGAGACAAAUAAGGUCAUUAUAUAAUGAUAAAGGGAUCAAUUUAUCAAGAGAAUAUGACAAUAUAUAUGCCUUAAGCAUUGGAACACCUAAAUAUAUAAAGCAAAUAUUAACAGAUCUGAAGGGAGAAAUAGACAGCAAUACAAUAAUAGAAGGGGAACUUCAAUACCCCAUUUUAAAAAAACAGACAGAUCAUCCAGAUAUAAAAUAAAUAAGGAACAUUGGACUUAAACUGAACCUUAGACCAAAUAAACCUAACAGACAUAUACAGGACACUGUAUCCAACAGCAACCAAAUACACAUUCUUGUUAAGCACACAUGGAAUAUUCUCUAGGAUAGAUCAUAUGUUAGGUCACAAAACAAGUCUUGAAAAAUGUUAAGAAUAUUGAAAUCAUAUUAAGUAUCUCUUCUGACUACAGUGGUAUAAAACUAGAAAUUAACAACAAGAGGAAUACUGGAAAAAUUAACAAAUAUGUGGAAAUUGAACACCACUUCUGAACAACUGUCUUAGGUUGCUCAGGCAUUUCUAGUAAAGUAGCAUAAACUAGGUAGCUUAUCAACAAUAAACAUAUUUCUCACAGUUCUGGAGGUUAAGUCCAAGAUCAAGGCAAUGAAAGUUUCAAUGUCUGGUGAGGGCCUGCUUUCUCCAUAGACUAAUGUUUUUUCACUGUAACUUCACAUGGAGGAAGGGGCUAGCUAGCUUGGUGACGUCUCUUUUAUAAGGGCACUAAUCCUAAUCAUGAGGGCUCUGCAUUCCAAAGGCCUCCCACCCGCCGCCCAAUACCAUAUUGGUAUUGGUUAGGGUUUCAAGGGGGAUGCAAAUAUUCAGAUCAUAGUGACAACCAAUGGGUUAAAGAAGAAAUUUUUUUAAAAAAUUGAGAUAAACAAAAUGGAAAUGAAAUAUACCAAAAUUUAUGGGAUGCAGCAAAAGCAGUUUAAGAGGGAAAUUUUUAUCGAUAAAUACUUACUUAACAUUAAGAAGGAGUGAAGAUCUCAAAUAAACAACUUAACUUUAUCUCAAGGGACUAGAAAAAGAACAAACUAAGCCCAACAUAAGUAAGCAGAAGAAAGGAAAUAACAAAGAUCAGAGCAGAAAUAAAUGAAAUAGUGAUUAGAGAAACAAUAGAACAUAUUGAGACUGAAUUAUAAAGUAAUAGAAAAUAUGAAUGGAUCAAUGAAAAACAAGGAAAUUGAAUCUGUAAUGAAAAAUCUCCCAGCAAAGAAAAGCCCAUAGACAGAUGGCUUUACUGGUGAAUUCUACCAAACUUAAAAAAAAGAAUUUAUAGCAAUUUUCAAACUCUACCAAAAAUUGAAGAAAAGGAAAUACUUCCAAACUCAUUUCAGAAGCCCAGCAUUACCUAAUAGAGGAGCCAGACAAGGAGAUUAUAAGAAAAAAUUACUUUCCAACAUCUCUGAUGAAAAUAAAUGCCAAAAUCCUCAAUAAAAUACUAGCAAACUGAAUUCAAUAGCACACAAAAACUCAUAUACCAUGAUCAAAUGGAAUUUAUCCCCAGGAUGCAAGGAUAGUUCAAUGUACACGAACCAAUAAAUGUGAUACAUGAUAUUAACAGAAUUAAAGAUAAAAACCAUAUGAUCGUCUCAAUAAGAGCAAAAAAGCAUUUGACAAAAUUCAACAUAAUUUCAUGAUAAAAACUCUCAACAAAUUAGGUGUAGAAGGAAUGCACCUCAACAUAAUAAAGGCCAUAUAUGACAAGCCCACAGAUAACAUUAAACUCAACAGUGAAAAGCUGAAUCAUUUCCUCUAAUAUCAGGAAUAAGACAAGGAUGUCCACUCUAUCCACUUCUAUUCAACAAAGUACUGGAAAUUCUAGCUAGAGCACUUGGGCAAGAAAUAGAAAUAAAAGGCAUCCAAAUCAGAAAGGAAGAAGUUAAAUUUUCUCUGCAGAUGACAUGAUUUUAUAUAUAGAAAACCCUAAAGACAUCCCCAAAAAACUGUUAGAAUAAAUGAAUUAAGUAAAGUUGCAGAAUACAAAAUCAACAUACAAAAAUCAAUUGUUUCUAUACACUAAAAACAAACUACUAGAAAAAGAAAUUAAAAAAAAUUCCUUUUAUGACAGCAUCAAAAAGAAUAAAAUACUUAGGACUAAAUGUAUCCAAGGAGGUGAAAGAUCUGUACACUGAAAACUAUAAAAUGUUGAUGAAAGAAAUUAAAGAAGACACAAAUAAAUGGAAAGAUAUCCUGUGUUUUAUGCAUUGGAAGAAUUAAUAUUAUUAAAAUGUCCAUAUAUCCAAAGUGACCUAAAAUUUCAGUGCAAUCCCUAUCAAAAUUCCAAUGGCAUUUUUCAUAGAAAUAUAAAAAACAAUCUUAAAUUUGUAGGAACCACAAAAGAUCCCAAAUAGCUAAAGCAGUUUUAAGAAAGAAGAACAUAGCUGCAGGCAUCAAACUUUCUGAUUUCAACUUAUAUUACAAAGCUAUAGUAAUCAAAACAGUAUGGUACUGGCAUAAAAACAGAAACAUAAAUCAAUGGAACAGAAUAGAGAGCCCAGAAAUUCACUCACAAGUAUAUGAUCAACUAAUCUUUGACAAAAACAACAAGAAUAAACAAUGAGAAAGGACAAUCACUUCAUUAAAUGUUGCUGGAGAAACUGAAUAUUCACAUACAAAAGAAUGAUAAUGAAUCCUUAUUCUUAUGCCAUACACAAAAAUCAACUCAAAAUGGAUUAAGGACUUAAACAUAAGACCUGAAAUCAUAAAAUUCGUUUUUUUUUUUUUUUUUUAGACGGAGUCUUGCUCUGUUGCCCAGGCUGGAGUGCAGUGGCAUGAUCUCAUGAUCUCAGCUCACUGCAACCUCUGCCUCCUGGGUUCAAGUGAUUCUCCUGUCUCAGCCUCCUGAGUAGCUGGGACUACACUACAGGCACGUGCCACCACGCCCGGUGAAUUUUUUGUAUUUUUAGUAGAGAUGGGGUUUCACCAUGUUAACCAGGAUGGUCUUGAUCUUUUGACCUUGUGAUCCACCUGCCUCGGCCUCCCAAAGUGCUAGGAUUACAGGCGUGAGCCAGCGCGCCUGGCCUGAAAUCAUAAAACUCUUAAAAGAAAAUGUAGGGGAAAAGCUUCUUCACAUGGGUCUUGGCAAUGAUUAUUUUGGAUAUGACACCAGAAGCUCAGGCUAUAAAAGAAAAUUAAAUAAAUGGGACUAUAUCAAACUGAAAAGCUUCUGCACAGUAAAGAAACAAUUAACAAAAUGAAAAGGUAGCAUAUGUAUUGGGAGAAAAUAUUUACAAGCCAUAUAUCUGAUAAAGGGUUAAUAUCCAAAAUAUAUAAAGGGCUCAAUAACUCAAUAGUAAAAAAACAAAUAACCUGAUUUUAAAAUGGGCAAAGGACCUGAAUAGACAUUUGUCCAAAGAAGACAUAAUGGCCAACAGGCAUAUAAAAAGGUGCUUAACAUCACUGUCAGGGAACUGCAAAUCAAAAUCACGAUAAGAUAUUAUCUCAUAGCUGUUAGGAAGGCUAUUAUCAAAAAGGCAGAGAUAGGUGUUGGCAAGAAUGUGGAGAAAAGUGAACCCUUGUAUAUUGUUAGUGGGAAAGUAGAUUGGUGUAGCCAUUAGGGAAAAUAGUAUGAAGGUUCCUAAAGCAAUUAAAAAUGGAACUACUAUAUGACCCAGAAAGAAAUAAAAUUACAACGUUGGCUGGGUGCGGUGGCUCAUGCCUGUAAUCCCAGCACUUUGGGAGGCUGAGGCAGGCAGAUCACUUGAGGUCAGGAGUUUGAGAUCAGCCUGGCCAACAUGGUGAAACCCUGACUCUACUAAAAAUACAAAAAUUAGCCAGGUGUGGUGGUGGGCACCUGUAAUCCCAGCUACUCGGGAGGCUGAGGCAGAAGAAUGGCUUGAACCCAGGAGGUGGAGUUUGCAGCCAGCCAAGAUUGUGCCACUGCACUACAACCUGGAUGACAGAGUGAAGCUCCAUCUAAAAAAACAGAAAAGAAAAUUAUGACCUAAUAGAGAUAUCUGCACUCCCACUUAAUUGCAGCUUUAUCCAUAAAAGUCAAGAUCUGGAAAUAACUUUAUCCAUAAAAGCCAAGAUCUGGAAGUGUCCACUGACAGUUGGUAUGGUUUGAAUGUGUUGGAAAAGCAUGUGUUGGAAACUUAAUCCCCAAUGCAACAGUGUUGAGAGGUGGGGCCUAAUGAGAGGUUAUUAGGCCAUGAGGAUUCUAUUGGAUUAAUGGAUUAAUGCUGCCAUCUUGGGAGUAGAUUUAUCAUUGCGAAAGCAGGUUCCUUAUAAAAGUAUGAGUUGGGCUUUCUUUUGCCUCUCUCACCCAUUCUUGCCUUUUUGCUCUUCCACCAUGGGAUGAUGUAUCAAGAAGGUCCUUGCAAGAUGCCAGCACCUUGAUACUGGACUUUGCAGCCUCCCAAA